GUGUACACCACACUCGUGUUUUCCAUAUACGGCGCUAUCGUCAUUAAAGAUUUUCAUAUAGAUAAGGAUGAUAUCAAUAGCAUAAUUCCUGAUUCAAUUCAUUUUCCGAAAGGAUUAUCGCAUUUUUUUAUCGUUGAAAAAUGGAAAUAUUGAAUAUUUAAAUAACACUUAAUCAUUGGCCAAUAUGGUUUUGUUCAACGAUUAUUACGAGCCAUAUGCUGAUAUUUGUUGAGAUAUUAUAUAAAUUAAUAUCGGUUUUUUACCGAGUUAUUAUUUAUACAAAAUAUGUAUUUAAUAAUGAUUUUUGUCGUUCAGUUCUCGCCCAUUGUACACCACACUCGUGUUUUCCAUAUACGGCGGAAGACAUAAUUUAUGAAAAAUGUCAAGAUUUUUUAUUUCAAUGGAGCCUAAAAUUGAUAGAUUGUACUCGAUUCUAUUUUACCGGAUAGUGGGACUUGAAUUUUGCACCAUAUUAAAAUAUUUUAUUUGAAUGCUCUAAACAAAUAAACAUAUGACGUUUAAUUUUCUUUUAAUAUAAAAUUAAAAAAAAAAGGAAAUUAAUGUCACGAGAGAGUUAUAUAUUCCCAAUAAUAUGGUUUCUGUGCUAUGUUUUGUAGGACCAUUUAUUGUCAAUCGAAAGUCUGAAAAGGUAAUAAAAAAAAUUCUCCCAUGGUGUUAAAUUGAAAAAUUUAUUUUCGGUUGCUCUCGACAAGUGCACACCACACUCGUGUUUUCCAUAUACGGCGGAAGACAUAAUUUAUGAAAAAUGUCAAGAUUUUUUAUUUCAAUGGAGCCUAAAAUUGAUAGAUUGUACUCGAUUCUAUUUUAACGGAUAGUUGUACUUGAAUUUUGCACCAUAUUAAAAUAUUUUAUUUAAAUGCUCUAAACAAAUAAACAUAUGACGUUUAAUUUUCUUUUAAUAUAAAAUUAAAAAAAAAAGGAAAUUAAUGUCACGAGAGAGUUAUAUAUUCCCAAUAAUAUGGUUUCUGUGCUACGUUUUGUAGGACCAUUUAUUGUCAAUCGAAUGUCUGAAAAGGGAAUAAAAAAAAUUCUCACAUGGUGUUAAAUUGAAAAAUUUAUUUUCGGUUGCUCUCGACAAGUGUACACCACACUCGUGUUUUCCAUAUACGGCGGAAGACAUAAUUUAUGAAAAAUGUCAAGAUUUUUU